rnacentral:rRNA from 1 species
CACAGAGAGCUUGCUCUCGGGUGACGAGUGGCGGACGGGUGAGUAAUGUCUGGGAAACUGCCUGAUGGAGGGGGAUAACUACUGGAAACGGUAGCUAAUACCGCAUAACGUCGCAAGACCAAAGAGGGGGACCUUCGGGCCUCUUGCCAUCAGAUGUGCCCAGAUGGGAUUAGCUAGUAGGUGGGGUAACGGCUCACCUAGGCGACGAUCCCUAGCUGGUCUGAGAGGAUGACCAGCCACACUGGAACUGAGACACGGUCCAGACUCCUACGGGAGGCAGCAGUGGGGAAUAUUGCACAAUGGGCGCAAGCCUGAUGCAGCCAUGCCGCGUGUAUGAAGAAGGCCUUCGGGUUGUAAAGUACUUUCAGCGGGGAGGAAGGCGUUAAGGUUAAUAACCUUGUCGAUUGACGUUACCCGCAGAAGAAGCACCGGCUAACUCCGUGCCAGCAGCCGCGGUAAUACGGAGGGUGCAAGCGUUAAUCGGAAUUACUGGGCGUAAGCGCACGCAGGCGGUCUGUCAAGUCGGAUGUGAAAUCCCCGGGCUCAACCUGGGAACUGCAUUCGAAACUGGCAGCUAGAGUCUUGUAGAGGGGGGUAGAAUUCCAGGUGUAGCGGUGAAAUGCGUAGAGAUCUGGAGGAAUACCGGUGGCGAA